CUACCUACCUCUAAGCUCAAGUGCCUAACUAAUCGCUCAAAACUUUUUCUUUAAACUCGUAGUUGCAGUCUCUCCGAAGCUUAGUUCUACAAGUGGCAGUGGGUGGCGAAGAACUGUGAGAAUGAUUCAACCACUUCUGAUCUGGAGCUUGUUGGCAGAGAGACUUGCGACUGUCAAAGAUGUUCUUCUGAAGGAUUUCUGUUUGAUUCUCGUGUUUCUGAUUGAAUGAUUUCAAACCUCUUUCCUACCUUUUGGCCCUUCCGUUUGAUGUCACUAACAGCCCUAGUCUUCCACUCCGCUGCUACCCCUCGCUACAAAUUGAUCAAUUGCCCAAUUGGUAUGAUUGGCUACCAAUCCCAGGAUUCUGACCUCUUCGUGGAUUCAGUUUCAACUUUGUUGCUUGCUCCCUCAGAUCUUCCGGAAAAGAAGUGUUCCAAUUAUGGUUGAUCUUGUCUUAACUUCUUGCUUCUGCGAUCAGGGCUGGGUCAAUUUCCCAAAUGAUGCCUCCUGAUUUCAAAGAUUCAACUAUUGAUAUGCAAUCCGAUUCGAUUAUGGAUUUGUCUAAGUUCCUUGUUAAUAUCAUUGCUUCUCUAAUAGCAGAAGCUUCUGCAA